rnacentral:rRNA from 1 species
GAUGAACGCUGGCGGCGUGCCUAAUACAUGCAAGUCGAACGCAUUGAGAGAAGUGCUUGCACUUUUCAAUUUGAGUGGCGAACGGGUGAGUAACACGUGGGCAACCUACCUGAUAGCGGGGGAUAACGAGUGGAAACAUUCGCUAAUACAGCAUAACAAUAGAGAAGGCAUCUUCUUUAUUUAAAAGGCGCUUUCAAGCGUCACUAUCAGAUGGGCCCGCGGUGCAUUAGUUAGUUGGUGGGGUGAAGGCCUACCAAGACGAUGAUGCAUAGCCGGGUUGAGAGACUUAUCGGCCACAUUGGGACUGAGACACGGCCCAAACUCCUACGGGAGGCUGCAGUAGGGAAUCUUCCACAAUGGACGAAAGUCUGAUGGAGCAACGCCGCGUGUGUGAUGAAGGCUUUCGGGUCGUAAAGCACUGUUGUAUGGGAAGAAAUGCUAGGCUAGGAAAUGAGCUUAGUUUGACGGUACCAUACCAGAAAGGGACGGCUAAAUACGUGCCAGCCGCCGCCGUAA